rnacentral:lncRNA from 1 species
CAUUCAACUUUUAUCAAACAAUUAAUAAAAGGAAGUUUCGUAUAUCACACUCUUCACAACAACAAAAAAGAAGAAAAGAGAGAUAAAUAUAUUUUUUAUCACACCCACUCAGUGAAAUGGUUGGUCAAGCAUUAACGUGUUAAACAUGUUGAGAUUCCCUUCCAGAAAGACCACACUAAUUGUUUAAAGAACAUAUAAAAUGAUAGCAU